UACAGAGGUCUCGAGCGUUGUUCGGAUUCAUUGGGCGUAAAGGGCGCGUAGGCGGCGGGGUAAGUCUGGUGUGAAAUCUCGGAGCUCAACUCCGAAAUUGCACUGGAUACUGCUCUGCUAGAGGGCUGGAGAGGAGAUCGGAAUUCACGGUGUAGCAGUGAAAUGCGUAGAUAUCGUGAGGAAGACCAGUGGCGAAGGCGGAUCUCUGGACAGCUCCUAACGCUGAGGCGCGAAGGCUAGGGGAGCAAACGGG
rnacentral:rRNA from 1 species